rnacentral:rRNA from 1 species
GGAGGGAGCAAACGUUGUUCGGAUUUACUGGGCGUAAAGGGUGUGUAGGCGGUCUUGCAAGUCAGGGGUGAAAUCCCUCGGCUCAACCGAGGAACUGCCUUUGAGACUGCAGGACUUGAGGGCGUGAGAGGAGACUGGAAUUCCUAGUGUAGCGGUGAAAUGCAUAGAUAUUAGGAGGAACACCAGUGGCGAAGGCGAGUCUCUGGCACGCAUCUGACGCUGAAACACGAAAGCCAGGGGAGCGAACGGGAUUAGAUACCCCGGUAGUCCUGGCUGUAAACGUUGGGCACUAAGUGUUGGCCGAUCGACCCGGCCAGUGCUGCAGCUAACGCGUUAAGUGCCCCGCCUGGGGAGUACGGCCGCAAGGUUGAA